rnacentral:rRNA from 1 species
UUAAGCGACUAAGUGUACACGGUGGAUGCCCUGGCAGUCAGAGGCGAUGAAGGACGUGCUAAUCUGCGAUAAGCGUCGGUAAGGUGAUAUGAACCGUUAUAACCGGCGAUUUCCGAAUGGGGAAACCCAGUGUGNNNNNNNNNNNNNNNNNNNNNNNNNNNNNNNNNNNNNNNNNNNNNNNNNNNNNNNNNNNNNNNNNNNNNNNNNNNNCACAUAUUGUGAGCUCGAUGAGUAGGGCGGGACACGUGGUAUCCUGUCUGAAUAUGGGGGGACCAUCCUCCAAGGCUAAAUACUCCUGACUGACCGAUAGUGAACCAGUACCGUGAGGGAAAGGCGAAAAGAACCCCGGCGAGGGGAGUGAAAAAGAACCUGAAACCGUGUACGUACAAGCAGUGGGAGCACGCUUAGGCGUGUGACUGCGUACCUUUUGUAUAAUGGGUCAGCGACUUAUAUUCUGUAGCAAGGUUAACCGAAUAGGGGAGCCGAAGGGAAACCGAGUCUUAACUGGGCGUUAAGUUGCAGGGUAUAGACCCGAAACCCGGUGAUCUAGCCAUGGGCAGGUUGAAGGUUGGGUAACACUAACUGGAGGACCGAACCGACUAAUGUUGAAAAAUUAGCGGAUGACUUGUGGCUGGGGGUGAAAGGCCAAUCAAACCGGGAGAUAGCUGGUUCUCCCCGAAAGCUAUUUAGGUAGCGCCUCGUGAAUUCAUCUCCGGGGGUAGAGCACUGUUUCGGCAAGGGGGUCAUCCCGACUUACCAACCCGAUGCAAACUGCGAAUACCGGAGAAUGUUAUCACGGGAGACACACGGCGGGUGCUAACGUCCGUCGUGAAGAGGGAAACAACCCAGACCGCCAGCUAAGGUCCCAAAGUCAUGGUUAAGUGGGAAACGAUGUGGGAAGGCCCAGACAGCCAGGAUGUUGGCUUAGAAGCAGCCAUCAUUUAAAGAAAGCGUAAUAGCUCACUGGUCGAGUCGGCCUGCGCGGAAGAUGUAACGGGGCUAAACCAUGCACCGAAGCUGCGGCAGCGACGCUUAUGCGUUGUUGGGUAGGGGAGCGUUCUGUAAGCCUGCGAAGGUGUGCUGUGAGGCAUGCUGGAGGUAUCAGAAGUGCGAAUGCUGACAUAAGUAACGAUAAAGCGGGUGAAAAGCCCGCUCGCCGGAAGACCAAGGGUUCCUGUCCAACGUUAAUCGGGGCAGGGUGAGUCGACCCCUAAGGCGAGGCCGAAAGGCGUAGUCGAUGGGAAACAGGUUAAUAUUCCUGUACUUGGUGUUACUGCGAAGGGGGGACGGAGAAGGCUAUGUUGGCCGGGCGACGGUUGUCCCGGUUUAAGCGUGUAGGCUGGUUUUCCAGGCAAAUCCGGAAAAUCAAGGCUGAGGCGUGAUGACGAGGCACUACGGUGCUGAAGCAACAAAUGCCCUGCUUCCAGGAAAAGCCUCUAAGCAUCAGGUAACAUCAAAUCGUACCCCAAACCGACACAGGUGGUCAGGUAGAGAAUACCAAGGCGCUUGAGAGAACUCGGGUGAAGGAACUAGGCAAAAUGGUGCCGUAACUUCGGGAGAAGGCACGCUGAUAUGUAGGUGAAGUCCCUUGCGGAUGGAGCUGAAAUCAGUCGAAGAUACCAGCUGGCUGCAACUGUUUAUUAAAAACACAGCACUGUGCAAACACGAAAGUGGACGUAUACGGUGUGACGCCUGCCCGGUGCCGGAAGGUUAAUUGAUGGGGUCAGCGCAAGCGAAGCUCUUGAUCGAAGCCCCGGUAAACGGCGGCCGUAACUAUAACGGUCCUAAGGUAGCGAAAUUCCUUGUCGGGUAAGUUCCGACCUGCACGAAUGGCGUAAUGAUGGCCAGGCUGUCUCCACCCGAGACUCAGUGAAAUUGAACUCGCUGUGAAGAUGCAGUGUACCCGCGGCAAGACGGAAAGACCCCGUGAACCUUUACUAUAGCUUGACACUGAACAUUGAGCCUUGAUGUGUAGGAUAGGUGGGAGGCUUUGAAGUGUGGACGCCAGUCUGCAUGGAGCCGGCCUUGAAAUACCACCCUUUAAUGUUUGAUGUUCUAACGUGGACCCGUGAUCCGGGUUGCGGACAGUGUCUGGUGGGUAGUUUGACUGGGGCGGUCUCCUCCUAAAGAGUAACGGAGGAGCACGAAGGUUGGCUAAUCCUGGUCGGACAUCAGGAGGUUAGUGCAAUGGCAUAAGCCAGCUUGACUGCGAGCGUGACGGCGCGAGCAGGUGCGAAAGCAGGUCAUAGUGAUCCGGUGGUUCUGAAUGGAAGGGCCAUCGCUCAACGGAUAAAAGGUACUCCGGGGAUAACAGGCUGAUACCGCCCAAGAGUUCAUAUCGACGGCGGUGUUUGGCACCUCGAUGUCGGCUCAUCACAUCCUGGGGCUGAAGUAGGUCCCAAGGGUAUGGCUGUUCGCCAUUUAAAGUGGUACGCGAGCUGGGUUUAGAACGUCGUGAGACAGUUCGGUCCCUAUCUGCCGUGGGCGCUGGAGAACUGAGGGGGGCUGCUCCUAGUACGAGAGGACCGGAGUGGACGCAUCACUGGUGUUCGGGUUGUCAUGCCAAUGGCACUGCCCGGUAGCUAAAUGCGGAAGAGAUAAGUGCUGAAAGCAUCUAAGCACGAAACUUGCCCCGAGAUGAGUUCUCCCUGACCCUUUAAGGGUCCUGAAGGAACGUUGAAGACGACGACGUUGAUAGGCCGGGUGUGUAAGCGCAGCGAUGCGUUGAGCUAACCGGUACUAAUGAACCGUGAGGCUUAACCUU